ACAAACUCACUUCCAAAACCCCGGCGCCCAAUUUCAGAACCUGCUUCUCCUUGCUCUCCUCUCUUCAAAUCUCAUACCAGUAUCUUUUGAAUCUCAACCAGAAUCCACGAAUCUAGCCACGAAAUUUGAAACCCUAGCCCUUUGGCCCCUUUUUGAUUUUAUACCAAACCUAGGCCUUGAUGGCAACAAAACCUACAUCAGUCGAUCAAUCUCACGAAGAUCUUUAGAUUGAUGCUGGUCUUGUGAAGUUUCACAGCCAUCGACGCCGGUCAACUCACUGAUAACCGGCCAAAAUCGAUCAAUUCCUUCGUCUCCGUCCCCAUCGAACCCACAGUAGCCUUACUCUAGGAAGAUCCACCAGGACAUAGAAUUUCAAGGUGGAUCUCCUAGAAAAAGGUCCAUUGGUGGUCGGAUUAUGCCGAGUCGGCCACCAUUUGAAUCCUCCCAUUUUUGGCUCCACCUUGAUGGGUUGUUUUAGUAGAUGAAAAUUCCAGUGGAAGGUUCUCACUUUUAGAUCUGACCAUCUAUGAGUCAGAUUUGCACUUCCAGAACCAAAAGAUUAAUUGUGAUGGAUAGAUCUCUAGCAUAGAAGUGAUGUUUGUACGUUUGAGGAUUAGUAUAUUGUUAAAGGCUUUAAUCAAAUCUAUGCCGGAGUCAUAACGGUGCAGAAAAAGAGAAUAGGUACGCCUGGAUGUGAAGAAUGUGAGGGAUUUGACUUUAGAGUGGUUAGUUAGGAAACUUGCUUGUUUGAUUCUGAAAGACGAAAUUAGGCGUUUGUUUAUGUAAGAGUUCCUAUAAAUUUUGACAUGAUAAUUAUCUGGAUGAUUGUAAUUAUACUGCUUCACAUUUUAUUAUGGAAAGAUAUUUUGCAAA